rnacentral:rRNA from 1 species
CGGCAAGGGGGUCAUCCCGACUUACCAACCCGAUGCAAACUGCGAAUACCGGAGAAUGUUAUCACGGGAGACACACGGCGGGUGCUAACGUCCGUCGUGAAGAGGGAAACAACCCAGACCGCCAGCUAAGGUCCCAAAGUCAUGGUUAAGUGGGAAACGAUGUGGGAAGGCCCAGACAGCCAGGAUGUUGGCUUAGAAGCAGCCAUCAUUUAAAGAAAGCGUAAUAGCUCACUGGUCGAGUCGGCCUGCGCGGAAGAUGUAACGGGGCUAAACCAUGCACCGAAGCUGCGGCAGCGACACUAUGUGUUGUUGGGUAGGGGAGCGUUCUGUAAGCCUGUGAAGGUGUGCUGUGAGGCAUGCUGGAGGUAUCAGAAGUGCGAAUGCUGACAUAAGUAACGAUAAAGCGGGUGAAAAGCCCGCUCGCCGGAAGACCAAGGGUUCCUGUCCAACGUUAAUCGGGGCAGGGUGAGUCGACCCCUAAGGCGAGGCCGAAAGGCGUAGUCGAUGGGAAACAGGUUAAUAUUCCUGUACUUGGUGUUACUGCGAAGGGGGGACGGAGAAGGCUAUGUUGGCCGGGCGACGGUUGUCCCGGUUUAAGCGUGUAGGCUGGUUUUCCAGGCAAAUCCGGAAAAUCAAGGCUGAGGCGUGAUGACGAGGCACUACGGUGCUGAAGCAACAAAUGCCCUGCUUCCAGGAAAAGCCUCUAAGCAUCAGGUAACAUUAAAUCGUACCCCAAACCGACACAGGUGGUCAGGUAGAGAAUACCAAGGCGCUUGAGAGAACUCGGGUGAAGGAACUAGGCAAAAUGGUGCCGUAACUUCGGGAGAAGGCACGCUGAUAUGUAGGUGAAGUCCCUCGCGGAUGGAGCUGAAAUCAGUCGAAGAUACCAGCUGGCUGCAACUGUUUAUUAAAAACACAGCACUGUGCAAACACGAAAGUGGACGUAUACGGUGUGACGCCUGCCCGGUGCCGGAAGGUUAAUUGAUGGGGUUAGCGGUAACGCGAAGCUCUUGAUCGAAGCCCCGGUAAACGGCGGCCGUAACUAUAACGGUCCUAAGGUAGCGAAAUUCCUUGUCGGGUAAGUUCCGACCUGCACGAAUGGCGUAAUGAUGGCCAGGCUGUCUCCACCCGAGACUCAGUGAAAUUGAACUCGCUGUGAAGAUGCAGUGUACCCGCGGCAAGACGGAAAGACCCCGUGAACCUUUACUAUAGCUUGACACUGAACAUUGAGCCUUGAUGUGUAGGAUAGGUGGGAGGCUUUGAAGUGUGGACGCCAGUCUGCAUGGAGCCGACCUUGAAAUACCACCCUUUAAUGUUU